rnacentral:tRNA from 1 species
CAGGGAGACCAACCAACUCAGCACAGAGAAAGUAGAUGUGUUGAAGUGUGGACAACCCUGGUCGAGCAAGGGAAAUUAGAGAGUGUAAGUUUAACUUUCAAACUAGAGGUUAGGUUCAUUUAAUGGGCUAUUAGCUCAGGUGGUUAGAGCGCACCCCUGAUAAGGGUGAGGUCCCUGGUUCAAGUCCAGGAUAGCCCACAUAAGAGAGAUCGGGGGGUAUAGCUCAGUUGGUAGAGCGCUGCCUUUGCAAGGCAGAAGUCAGCGGUUCGAGUCCGCUUACCUCCAGGAGAGAAAGAAAUAAGAGAAAUCAGCAAUCAGACCUGAAUCAAUCAAGUCUAGCUGCUGGUCAUCUAAAAAUCCAGCAAGAACCUUGAAAACUGCAUAGUAGAAAGAAGUCAAAGUAACUAAACCAGAGGUUAGGUGUAACCUAACAAAAUCAAAAUCUAGUCAGGUAGAAAGUCAAGUGGUCAAGUUAUAAAGGGCUGACGGU